CAUGUAGGCGGAUUAAUAAGUUUGAAGUGAAAUCCUAUAGCUUAACUAUAGAACUGCUUUGAAAACUGUUAAUCUAGAAUGUGGGAGAGGUAGAUGGAAUUUCUGGUGUAGGGGUAAAAUCCGUAGAGAUCAGAAGGAAUACCGAUUGCGAAGGCGAUCUACUGGAACAUUAUUGACACUGAGAUGCGAAAGCGUGGGGAGCAAACA
rnacentral:rRNA from 1 species